ensembl:snRNA U6 U6 spliceosomal RNA
AUAUCUGCUUUGGUGGUACAUGUGCUAAAACUGGAAUGAUACAGAGAAAAUCAGGUCCCUGCACCAUGAUGACAUACAAAUUUGUGCAAACUCCAUGGUUUCA